AUAGAUCUGGAUCUCCUAAUUGUGAUAUAGGGAAUACAGAUUAUUAGAUUAGGUUGUUGAACUGUUCUGCAAAGAUACAGACAUUUAUUGCUAAAUGGAUAGAAUGGUUGGAACUUUGGAGGGUUCUUGUGUGCUAUUUCAUCUUAAGAUCCAGUGGUUGUCAUACUGCUGAUUUUUCUUGUUUCAGUUUAGCUGAAGAAGGUUGAGAAAUGUUGCUUGGACAAUCCAGAAACAAAGCGGUUUUGAAGCAACUGAAGACCCAACUAUCAAAAGCAUGAGGAAGAAUCUAUGCAGAAAUCUAGAGCUAUGGAAUGGUGCUACAAUAUUCUGGGUUUUGUUCAUAAACUUUUCCUUCAAAUAUGAUUGUGGGAGGCUAGCAACCAUCAACUCAACCGACCCUGAUGACCCUGAUCCAGUACAAAUUUGAAUCCUAUAACCUGGUUAGUACAGUGAGCUUAAUUUUUUAUUUUAGAAAAAUGACUUUGGAUUAUGCUCAACUUUUAACAUACUGGAUUAGAGAUUGGGUGGGGUUAAGUUUUUGAAUGGAGUGUUUCUUAUUUCAA